UCCAUCUCUUCCUCCCGAGUCCCGACUAUGGGCUAGGGUUCCAUAUGCCGCCGCCGAUAUCUCGCCCCCUCACCAUAUACGCUUUUCCAUCCCCACCUAAGACCGAAACCUACUCACGCCUCUCCUUGUUCCCCCACGCCAUUGCAGUCCCAACCACGAACGCCGACGCCGGCUGUCGCCGUCACGCCGCCAGCCAUUCGUGCCUCGCAGUCGUCGCAGCCGGUGCUACCCCAUAGAACGAGCGCCGAGGAGAAACACUGCGGCGACGUGUUCUUCCCUUCCCUGUCCGCGAGAGCAGUUCAUCCCCAUCGUCAGACCAGAUCAACUCCUCCUGCAACGUCCAAUCUUUUCAUCCACACGACGACAGCUGUAGCGCAAUGACCCAGCGUCUACAGCAUCAACAACGCAACUACCCAGUGAUGAGCUAUUCCUCGUAUCCCUCUCCCUCUCCUCAGUAUUAUACGAUUCUUGUUACUUUGUGCAUGUGUCUUCAUUUUCGUGCCAUUUAGUGUUCUUGUGUAUCGUGAUGUUGGGACAUAGCUGCAGCAACUCAUAGGUUUGGAAGGCCAAGAAAAAAGGCGUGGUUAUAGAAGACACUUUAUUAUAAAGCUUGUGUAAGACCAGCUACAGUCUGAAUGAACUACAUAGCUGCAGAAACUAGGGAGUUGUUUGAUGAAGUGCCGCAGAGGGUUGUUUGAUCAAAUGACGGACAGGGAUUUGGUUGUUGGAUUUUACAGAUGGUGUUCUUCUUUUUAACAGGGGAAGAUAACCACAUGGGAACAAGGAGGAGGCGCCCUGUGGUUGUUGUGGGUCUGAAGGCAGAUAUUGAUAAGGAAGGUGAGAUUUUUAGUUAAUACUGCAAGAUUUUCGAGGAGGUUGUGAAAGCCGUCGCCUUCAUGCUUCCUGCUACCAAUUCCAAAGACGCCAUCUCCCCUCUAGACAUCGUCACAUUUUCUCGCCAAGGAACAAUUUGGGCCUACACACAGAUUAUAGGCGAAGGCCUUGGGUCGCUUGGCAUCAAAGAGCUCGAGCUGCUUGAAAAACAACUUGAUUCAUCCUCAAGGUACAUAAGAUCCACAAGACUAAUUGAUUGCUUUCCAUAUAAUCAUGAUUUAGAAGAUAGGAGCACUAGCUCUUUCAUUAUGUACAGAAAACAAUACAAAUUGUUCCUUUGUACUGCAUGUUUCUACUCUGUUAAAUAAUCAUAGGCAAUAUUAUGCUGCUAGAUGGUCAUGAUCACUUUUGACCAGUGUUGUAGGUAGAUUACACCUAUUUUUGUCUUGCUUUGUUUUUAAGUAAAGUUGAUUAGGGUGUGUGCCAUGAUCAAGCAAUAAGCAAAAUGGAGUCUCUUCAUGCUGCAAAUAUAGCCCAGUUUAAGUUCAAUGGACAAAACACAUCUCAGGUUAAUGAGCUUCUCUGUACACUACAUCUCAAUUGAACUAUAUGCAGUUUUCAGCUUGACGUCUCUGAUUUAACAUCAUUAUUCUAGGACUGGAAAAUGUUACAUUAGAGAUAUUGAUUCCGUAAUGCAAUGCAUCAUAUGUCCUACAAACUACGAAUAAUUUGGCUGUGUGAGCCCGGCCUCGAUAUGUUACAACAGAAAAAAUGUUGAUCAAUUUCAUGAUUGCAGACACGACAUAUGCUUCAUCAUCUCACUGAUCUCUAGAGGAAGGUAUGCUCUUAAGAAAAUAAAUUUGAUUAUAAUAUGUAUUCGUAUAUCUUCUCAAACAAAUUUGUUCAGACCUAAAAUUGACUAUUCCUAACAGCGCACUGAAUAAGUUUGCAGGAAGAGAUCUUGUGUGAAAAAUGUAUGUUCCCAUUACACGUAUUAAUUAGCUUAUGAAUUAUUUCCCUCAGAAGAAGUAAUUUAACUCUUCAUUUUCUAUCAUUUCUAGGACUUAAAAAUGUUUUCCCAAUUUUCCUUCCACCAUUUUUGUAACCCUCUGCAGAAUGGUCCGGGGAGGUUCACAACACUGUCUACUCAUCUGAUGGGAGAUCUGUAUUUGUUGUCUAUCGUGUGUCUAUGGAACUGAUGCAGAGGUACACUUUGUCUGGGAGUUAUAUGUGGUUCAGAUUGCUGCAUCUGGUUUGGUUUUACACUCAUCUUGCGUGCUCACUUUUUGAGAGUAUAACCAGUUUGUUGGUCCUAUUUGAUCAAUGGACGUGAUGGCGAGGCAUUGUGCUGUGCUGGCGGCCAUGAUGGUAACAUCGUCGAAGGCGGAGGCGACGGGUGCUUGUCGACGAAAGCGGCGCGGGGAUGGGGAAGGUGGAGUGGCGAGGGAUGGAGGCAGAGAAAGGCAGCUCCGGAGACGGAGUGGCGGCAAGAUUUGACGCGCUCGCCUGCAGAGCGCGUGCGCAAGAUUCUGUUUCCAGGUGGAGAGGGAGAAAGAGAAAGGGAGAAUGGAAGCCAAGUGAUAGACAAAGAGAGCGGAAGAUAGAAGACAGACAAUAACUUGUGUUAUCUUACUAAUUCUUUAUUUAUUUAAGACCCAUACAAAUGCACGCUGUAUGAUGGAAAC